CAGCAGUAGCCGCGGUAAUACAGAGGGUGCGAGCGUUAAUCGGAUUUACUGGGCGUAAAGCGUGCGUAGGCGGCUUCUUAAGUCGGAUGUGAAAUCCCUGAGCUUAACUUAGGAAUUGCAUUCGAUACUGGGAAGCUAGAGUAUGGGAGAGGAUGGUAGAAUUCCAGGUGUAGCGGUGAAAUGCGUAGAGAUCUGGAGGAAUACCGAUGGCGAAGGCAGCCAUCUGGCCUAAUACUGACGCUGAGGUACGAAAGCAUGGGGAGCAAACAGGAUUAGAUACCCCUGUAGUCCCUGUUUCUUAUAC
rnacentral:rRNA from 1 species